CCAGUUGACCGGGUGGCCGCUGGCAUGCGGGUAACUGCAUGCCGGAGGAAAGUCCGGGCUCCAUCGAAACACGGUGACGGCUAACAGCCGCCGGGGGCGACCCCAGGGAAAGUGCCACAGAAAGCAAACCGCCACGGUUCGCCGGGGUAAGGGUGAAAGGGUGCGGUAAGAGCGCACCGGGUGCCUGGCGACAGGGACCGCACGGUAAACCCCACCGGGAGCAAGACCAAAUAGGGAUGACGCGGGUUUCGGCCCAGCCUGUUUCGAGGCCAGAUCAUCCGGGUUGGUUGCACGAGCGCGUCCAGUAAUGGCCGCCAUAGAUGAAUGGUCACCACGUCGCGGCAACGCGGCCCUACAGAACCCGGCUUACAGGUCAACUGGCGUU
rnacentral:RNase_P_RNA from 1 species